GAUGAAGAACGCAGCAAAAUGCGAUAAGUAAUGUGAAUUGCAGAAUUCAGUGAAUCAUCGAAUCUUUGAACGCACAUUGCGCCCGCCAGUAUUCUGGCGGGCAUGCCUGUUCGAGCGUCAUUUCAACCCUCAAGCACAGCUUAGUGUUGGGACUCGCGUUAAUUCGCGUUCCUCAAAUUGAUUGGCGGUCACGUCGAGCUUCCAUAGCGUAGUAGUAAAACCCUCGUUACUGGUAAUCGUCGCGGCCACGCCGUUAAACCCCAACUUCUGAAUGUUGACCUCGGAUCAGGUAGGAAUACCCGCUGAACUUAAGCAUAUCAAUAAGCGGAGGA
rnacentral:misc_RNA from 1 species